UCAUUAUUGAAAUAAAGGCUGUUGCUGGUCCUCACCGAGGACAUGUGCACGCUUGUUGUUAUUUUUCCAACUGUGCACAUAUUGUAGACCUGGGAAGUCUUUUAUUGUUGGGAUAGAUUGAGGACUGCCAAUGCGGCUUUGCCUUGUAUUUCCAGGUCUAUGUUGUAAUACAAACGAAUGAAUGUCGAGUACUGGGAAAUAUGAAAUAAUAAUACAACUUUCAGCAACGGAUCUCUUGGCUCUCGCAUCGAUGAAGAACGCAGCGAAAUGCGAUAAGUAAUGUGAAUUGCAGAAUUCAGUGAAUCAUCGAAUCUUUGAACGCAUCUUGCGCUCCUUGGUAUUCCGAGGAGCAUGCCUGUUUGAGUGUCAUUAAAAGUUCUCAACCACUCUGGUUCUUUCUGGUGUGGCUUGGAUUUGAGGGGUUUUUGCAGGCUUUUGAACUGAAGUCGGCUCCCUUGAAAAGGAUUAGUGGUGUCUGGAGCAGAAGCCACCAUGGGUGUGAUAAUUAUCUAUGCCUUGGGUGAAUGCCUGACCACAAAAGCUGUUGUGUUUUGACAAAUUUGACCUC
rnacentral:rRNA from 1 species